UGGGGAAUCUUGCACAAUGGGCGAAAGCCUGAUGCAGCGACGCCGCGUGCGGGAUGAAGGCCUUCGGGUGGUAAACGGUUUUCAGCGGGGCCGGGGCCCCAGGGUGAGGGUACCUCAGGAAGAGGCCCCGGCUAAUUCCGGCCCAGCAGCCGCGGAAAUACGUAGGGGGCAAGCGUUAUCCGGAUUCAUUGGGCGUAAAGCGCGCGUAGGCGGUUUGUUAGGUCAGGAGUUAAAUCUGGGGGCUCAACCCCUAUCCGCUCCUGAUACCGGCAGGCUUGAGUCUGGUAGGGGAAGGCGGAAUUCCAAGUGUAGCGGUGAAAUGCGCAGAUAUUUGGAAGAACACCGGUGGCGAAGGCGGCCUUCUGGGCCACGACUGACGCUGAGGCGCGAAAGCUAGGGGAGCGAACAGG
rnacentral:rRNA from 1 species